AUUGAACACAUCUGAAAUUAGAAAAAAAUAUGCAUUUUGGUGCUUUUUUACCGGCCUUUUUCUAACAAUAAUUACGCCGUUAUUAAUUAUGUCCUAUUUUUCUGUUUCUUUCUAGAGCAACAAACGAAAAUGUCAUGAAAACGCAAACGAAGACGAAGACGGAGACGCAGACGGAGACGUAGACGAAGAUGACGAUGAGAAAAACGAGCAAAAAUCAACAGAAAAA